GAUGAACGCUGGCGGCGUGCCUAAUACAUGCAAGUCGAGCGAACAGACGAGGAGCUUGCUCCUCUGACGUUAGCGGCGGACGGGUGAGUAACACGUGGAUAACCUACCUAUAAGACUGGGAUAACUUCGGGAAACCGGAGCUAAUACCGGAUAAUAUAUUGAACCGCAUGGUUCAAUAGUGAAAGACGGUUUUGCUGUCACUUAUAGAUGGAUCCGCGCCGCAUUAGCUAGUUGGUAAGGUAACGGCUUACCAAGGCAACGAUGCGUAGCCGACCUGAGAGGGUGAUCGGCCACAUUGGAACUGAGACAGGGUCAAGACUCCUACGGGAGGCAGCAGUAGGGAAUCUUCCGCAAUGGGCGAAAGCUUGACGGAGCAACGCCGAGUGAGUGAUGAAGGUCUUCGGAUCGUAAAACUCUGUUAUUAGGGAAGAACAAAUGUGUAAGUAACUAUGCACGUCUUGACGGUACCUAAUCAGAAAGCCACGGCUAACUACGUG
rnacentral:rRNA from 1 species